UACGUAGGGUGCGAGCGUUGUCCGGAAUUACUGGGCGUAAAGAGCUCGUAGGUGGUUUGUCGCGUUGUUCGUGAAAACUCACAGCUCAACUGUGGGCGUGCGGGCGAUACGGGCAGACUGGAGUACUGCAGGGGAGACUGGAAUUCCUGGUGUAGCGGUGGAAUGCGCAGAUAUCAGGAGGAACACCUGCGGCGAAGGCGGGUUGCUGGGCUGACACUGACGCUGAUGCGCGAAAGCCAGGGGAGCGAACGGG
rnacentral:rRNA from 1 species